ensembl:lncRNA
UAUGUACAUAUAUAUUUAUGUAUAUUUCUAUAUGCAGAGCAAGCUACAAUUAUUUUGAUUCCCCCAAAGAUAUCAGUUACUAUGAGCAACAGUGUUAAUCCCAUUCUCUGAGGCUAGUUCCUGGAGUUGUGCUGUGAUAGACUUACUUCUGCUCAAGAUACAGCAGCUUAUGUCAUGACCUCUGCCUGGUUGUUGUAUAGCCAGCUUUUUUCCCGUUGGUGCAUCAGACACUGAGUCUGUGAGUCUAUUGUCCUGAUUAUUAGCUACUUGAUUUUAUACUGGGCAAGGAGUUGGGGGAACCCUGCAGGGUUGUGGUAGGUUCCACUUUAUGAAUAUGAAAUUAAAAACAAAACUGCAUAAAACCUGGAGGCAAGGAAGAAUUGGUCUUGGGUGACCCAUGUCAGCAUGUGUGAGCUCCAUGGAUCCCUCUCCAUAGGNNNNNNNNNNNNNNNNNNNNNNNNNNNNNNNNNNNNAGUAUGCUGGCUCCCUUUGGAUAUAGCACCUUCCCAUGAAAGACUGAUUCUUUCUUAAAUAUCAUCUCUGUUUCUAGAGUUUGUGCUACAUCAAAUGCAAUGCACGUUGACUGGCUCUUUGGUAGGCUUUGCGCUGCUGCCUGUACAAUAUACCAUGUACACUUGGUACACAUGAGCCAGGUGACUGAGUCAGCCUUGAAGUCAGCUCUGCACACCACUCUGUGACAGAUUCUAAAGCUUAUGUGAAGCAGUGAUGGGAGAUGUUGCUGAGAGUUUCGCAUAUGGAGAGUCCAGAGGUGGAACAGGAGAGGACAGGUCUGGAAAAGAGCCCAGCUGAGAAGAUAAGCGCAAAGUUGGUAUGUGUGUCAAAUGUGGAGUGGUCCUCAGUUUGGCUCCUUGACGGUUGAAUGUGACUAAGACGCAAGUGGAAGAGCAAGCUGCAGAGGCCAAUUAUGAUGCCGACAAAUUUCUGCCGCCAUGUUGGCCCAGACGGAUUCUGUUCUCUAGUUUUAGGCCUGUUUUUAAUGCACUUCUCAAUUCCUCCCCCUUUCUUCAUUUGUAUCAAUAAUCCAGUUUUCCAUCCCCUGGGUCUGCCUUCCAGUGAAAAGUCCACUUUGGGACAUUUACUUCUUCUGAGUCUUUUUCUUGCCUCACCUUCUAAUCUUCCCGUGUACUCCGAGGACUUGACCUUCUUUAAACUUCUUGAGCCCUUUCUCUAUUCUGUACCAGAAGUCAUUCACUUGCUUGCCGGACAUUGACUGAGAAUCAUCUCUGUGCCAAGAACAUGCAUCGUUGAACCAUAAACAGCAUGCUUCCUACUUGUUCCUGAGAAGCUUACAGGGACUCAGGCGUCACACUGGUGAAGUUGAACAGGUAUAAAGCCAAACAGAGUGAUGGGAACAGAGAAAAUCAAGGGUUAUAUGCUCCAUCUGAUGGCCUAAAAAUUCUUCUUUAACACAACCAGCAGCACAAUGAACCAAGCCUACCAGUUGGGGCCACUCCAACUAUAAAUGCCAUCUGCUCUCUGCCACUGCCAAAUAUCUCUCUCCAGCUUAGAAUUCUCUCUUGAGCUCCAAAUUCCAUGAACUCCAGAGCUUCCAGCUCUCGUGGCCUCAUGGUCUGCUGGGCACUUCACACUCCCCAUGGUGAAGUGAGCUUCCACUCUCACCCAUCCCAAACUUUCCCCACCAGCUUCCCCAAGUCAGGAAGCAGCAAUUCGAUACUUCCAGCUGCUCAGAUGCCAGAACUCAGGUGCUGUCUUUGACUCUGUCACCUUUUUCCACAUCAGGUAUUCAAUUCAUUAGACCCAUUGGCUCUAUCUUCAAAAAUUAUCCAGAAUUAAGACAGACUUUCUGCUUCUCUGCCACCAUUGUCCCAGCCACCACUGUCUUCCACCUGUCUUCACCUUUGUCCCUAAGCAAGCUCAUUUCCAUAACAACCAGAAAGCCUGUAAACAAACGACAAACCGUCUUACUCCUUUGACUUAUAUCCCUCUAAGCUUUCCCAUCUCAGAGAAAAUUCCAAGUCCUUACAGGGACCUAAAAGACCCCAUUUGCCAUCUUCUUUCUCCCUCUUCCUCCCACCCAACCCCACUCCCCGGAACCACCCACUCCUCACUUUUUGUUCCAAAACUUCAGUCUCCUUGCUGGUAAUGAGUCUUCCAGCCAAGCUCAGCAUCAGGGACUUCACAUUCAGCCAAAAUUUCCCCCAGCCCCCUAGAUCGUCAUGCACGCCCUCACCUGAUUCAAGUCUUUUUCCAAAGGUCACCUUUUCGAUGGAUUCUCAAUAAGACUUUUUAAAAAUCUGUUAUUUUUAUUGAAGUAUUUUUUAUUUACAGCAUUUCAAGUAUACAGCAGAGUGAUUCAGUUUAUAUAUAUAUAUAUAAUUUCCUUUUUAGGUUCUUUUCAAUUAUAGGUUAUUAUAAGAUAUUACAUACAGUUUUCUGUGCUAUACAGUAGGUCCUUGUUGUUUAUCUGUUUUANNNNNNNNNNNNNNNNNNNNNNNNNNNNNNNNNNNNNNNNNNNNNNNNNNNNNNNNNNNNNNNNNNNNNNNNNNNNNNNNNNNNNNNNNNNNNNNNNNNCUGUGCUAUACAGUAGGUCCUUGUUGUUUAUCUGUUUUAAAUAUAGUUCUGUAACUGUUAAUCCCCAACUCCUAAUUUAUCCCUCCCCCUGCCAUUUGUCUUCUGUGUCUGUGAGUCUGUUUUGUAUAUAUAAAUGUUUAGGUUCAGUGGGGCUUUCUUUGAUUUCUUUGAUUUUCUUUGAUUUCUUUGAUUCAAGAUUGCCAGGAGAAAUAUCAAUAACCUCAGAUAUGCAGA